UACGUAGGGGGCUAGCGUUAUCCGGAAUUACUGGGCGUAAAGGGUGCGUAGGUGGUUUCUUAAGUCAGUGGUGAAAAGCUGCCGCUCAACGGUAGUCUUGCCAAUGAUACUGUUUUUCUUGAGUAUGGUUAAGGUAGGUGGAAUGUGCAGUGUAGCGGUGAAAUGCAUAGAGAUUGCACAGAAGGCCGAUUGCGAAGGCAGCUUACUGAACCAUAACUGACGCUCAUACACGAAAGCGUGGGGAUCAAACAGGAUUAGAUA
rnacentral:rRNA from 1 species